rnacentral:rRNA from 1 species
GGGGACAACAGCCAGAAAUGGCUGCUAAUACCGCAUAAGCCUGCGGUGCCGCAUGGCACAGCAGGGAAAACCACGGUGGUACAGGAUGGGCCCGCGUCUGAUUAGUUAGUUGGCAGGGUAACGGCCUACCAAGACGAUGAUCAGUAGCCGGCUUGAGAGAGUGGACGGCCACAUUGGGACUGAGACACGGCCCAGACUCCUGCGGGAGGCAGCAGUGGGGAAUAUUGCACAAUGGGGGAAACCCUGAUGCAGCAAUGCCGCGUGGGUGAAGAAGCACUCCGGUGCGUAAAGCCCUGUCAGCAGGGAAGAAAAUGACAGUACCUGACCAAGAAGCCCCGGCUAACUACGUGCCAGCAGCCGCGGUAAUACGUAGGGGGCAAGCGUUAUCCGGAUUUACUGGGUGUAAAGGGAGCGCAGGCGGUAUGGCAAGUCAGAUGUGAAAACCCAGGGCUCAACCCUGGGACUGCAUUUGAAACUGCCAUACUGGAGUGCCGGAGAGGUAAGUGGAAUUCCUAGUGUAGCGGUGAAAUGCGUAGAUAUUAGGAGGAACACCAGUGGCGAAGGCGGCUUACUGGACGGUAACUGACGCUGAGGCUCGAAAGCGUGGGGAGCAAACAGGAUUAGAUACCCUGGUAGUCCACGCUGUAAACGAUGAA